AAAAAUUUUUGUUCACUUUUUUUAUAAAUUUGUCCCAAAAAAAAACAAAACAAAAAAAAACAA
rnacentral:ribozyme from 1 species